UACGUAGGGUGCGAGCGUUAAUCGGAAUUACUGGGCGUAAAGCGUGCGCAGGCGGUUUUGUAAGCCAGAUGUGAAAUCCCCGGGCUCAACCUGGGAAUGGCAUUUGGGACUGCAAGGCUUGAGUGCGGCAGAGGAGACUGGAAUUCCUGGUGUAGCAGUGAAAUGCGUAGAUAUCGUAAGGAAGACCAGUGGCGAAGGCGGAUCUCUGGACAGCUACUGACACUGAGGCACGAAGGCCAGGGGAGCAAACGGG
rnacentral:rRNA from 1 species